AUUCCAGCUCCAAUAGCGUAUAUUUAAGUUGCUGCAGUUAAAAAGCUCGUAGUUGGAUUUCGGAUGGGAUUUGCCGGUCCGCCGUUUCGGUGUGCACUGGCCAGUCCCAUCUUGUUGUCGGGGACUAGCUCCUGGGCUUCACUGUCCGGGACUAGGAGCUGACGAGGUUACUUUGAGUAAAUUAGAGUGUUCAAAGCAAGCCUACGCUCUGAAUACAUUAGCAUGGAAUAACAUGAUAGGACUCUGGCUUAUCUUGUUGGUCUGUGAGACCAGAGUAAUGAUUAAGAGGGACAGUCGGGGGCAUUCGUAUUUCAUUGUCAGAGGUGAAAUUCUUGGAUUUAUGAAAGACGAACUUCUGCGAAAGCAUUUGUCAAGGAUGUUUUCAUCG
rnacentral:rRNA from 1 species